AUGGAGACAACAAGAAAAAUUUCUUUAACCGUGGCAUUAUUUUUGGCUUUUUUUAUAUUUGCAUCAGAUAUGGCAAUAGAAUCACAAGCAAGAGGAGUGAGUGAAAACACACUUAAUAGUUGUGUCAAGAAUGCCGAUUGUGUGGGUAAAUGGCAUUGCGAUCCAGGCCUAGUUCCCGUAUGUGUUCAAGGCACGUGUCUAUGUUGGCAUUAA